GGUCUUAAAAAAUAUAGAAAUUCAAAAUUAUACAUAUUCUUGUUACGCUGGAUUGCUUGCAUGUUUAAAGCUAAUUUUCGAUUAGCUAUAGUAUAGGGGGUGCAUGAUUGGGAGGCCUGAAUGACAGAAUAUAAAGUAUAUAAAGUACAAUGUUUAAAGUUAAAUCCUUAAUUUACUUCAUAUGUAUACGUAUAUAUAUAUACAACUGUAUAAUAUAUUUCAGGUUUCUGAGCCCGUUAAAGAGUCUGUUCGGGUUAAGGAAACUGAAUCACAUGGAAUAUUGGAGACAAAAAAAAACGAAAACGAUAAUCAACAUAACAAGGUACUUCACACAAGGAAUUCCGCACCAAGAGUUGUCCAGCCGCAAGACUCCUUUGUAGAUAAACAUUCCCACUUGUCCUAACAAAAUUUUAUCUUUAUGCGGGAAAAAGCGAGGGGAGUCAUGCUUCUUUUGUCUCCCACCCGCUCUGCCGUUUGUAUAGUUAAUCUUUUAUUCUCCAUCUAUAUAUCUGCACUAAGUGGGAGUAUUGAAUUGUAAGAGGAAGAAAGGUACAUAUCUCAACUUAAAUAACGAAGUAAACCAUGCAUUACUUGUUAACCGCUAUAAUCUGUUACUUCAGCGUUUCUAUAAAUUAUUAAUUAUUGCAAUGACUGUUGCCGAUGCAAGCCCG